GCAAAAAAUUCUUUGCCCAAGAAUUGUUUGGACAGGACAAACACCAGAGACAGGAUGCCACUUCAUUCUUUGGGUUUUUGACAAGACAGAAAAACAAAUAAGGAUUUACCAUAACACCGAACAUUACAUUAGCAUUUCAGCCUCAGACAUGAACAUUCUGAGAGAUGCCUUUCGAAAUACAGACUCCCUGGAUGGGUGAACUGUGUGCAGUCUUCGGGUUUACCAUGCCUCCCGUUUGGUUGAAAAUCUACAUAUUGGGGAAUUACAACCUAAGAAAACAGUGCAUAAAGCUGUAAACACAUGUAUGGCCCAGGACUUUGAUGUUUGCAUAUUUCAAAAAAUCCGGACAAAAACAAUGCAUCCAGAUGUCAAAUCACUGCAAUGGAUUCAGUGCGACAGCUGUAAUAAAUGGUUGCACUAUAAGUGCGCUGGUAUUGAUCCGGUAGUGGUCACAGACGACAUGCCAUUCAACUGUGGAUUGGAUAUUGUUCAACCAUGUCCUUAUGAGAAGUUCCGUUCAUUGGUCUAUUCAGCUGUCAUUUCUCAUUUCUCCCCCGGUUACGUCAUUCUUACGUCACAUCCAAUAAGCAAAGACCACCC